rnacentral:rRNA from 1 species
GACGAACGCUGGCGGCGUGCUUAACACAUGCAAGUCGAACGGAAAGGCCUCAGCUUGCUGGGGUACUCGAGUGGCGAACGGGUGAGUAACACGUGGGUGAUCUGCCUUGCACUCUGGGAUAAGCUUGGGAAACUGGGUCUAAUACCGGAUAUGAACUGCCUUUAGUGUGGUGGUUGGAAAGUUUUUUCGGUGCAAGAUGAGCUCGCGGCCUAUCAGCUUGUUGGUGGGGUAAUGGCCUAUCAAGGCGUCGACGGGUAGCCGGCCUGAGAGGGUGUACGGCCACAUUGGGACUGAGAUACGGCCCAGACUCCUACGGGAGGCAGCAGUGGGGAAUAUUGCACAAUGGGCGGAAGCCUGAUGCAGCGACGCCGCGUGGGGGAUGACGGCCUUCGGGUUGUAAACUCCUUUCGACAGGGACGAAGCUUUUUGUGACGGUACCUGUAUAAGAAGCACCGGCUAACUACGU